rnacentral:rRNA from 1 species
UACGGAGGGAGCUAGCGUUGUUCGGAAUUACUGGGCGUAAAGCGCGCGUAGGCGGCUUUGUAAGUUAGAGGUGAAAGCCCGGGGGCUCAACUCCGGAAACUGCCUUUAAGACUGCAUCGCUUGAAUCCGGGAGAGGUGAGUGGAAUUCCGGAGUGUAGAGGUGAAAUCGUAGAUAUCGGAAGAACACCAGUGGCGAAAGGCGGCUCACUGGACCGGUAUUGACGCUGAGGCACGAAAGCGUGGGGGAGCAAACA